rnacentral:rRNA from 1 species
UACGUAGGGGGCAAGCGUUGUCCGGAUUUAUUGGGCGUAAAGAGCGUGUAGGCGGCCAUACAGGUCAGCUGUGAAAACUCGAGGCUCAACCUCGAGACGUCGGUUGAAACCGUAUGGCUAGAGUCCGGAAGAGGAGAGUGGAAUUCCCGGUGUAGCGGUGAGAUGCGCAGAUAUCGGGAAGAACACCCGUGGCGAAGGCGGCUCUCUGGGACGGUACUGACGCUGAGGAGCGAAAGCGUGGGGAGCGAACAGG